UAAAAGGUUGAUGAUGCCCUGAGUUUCACUGGUAGUGUAAUCAUUAUUCCAAAUGAAGCCCAUCUACUUAACAAAUACCAUAAUUUAUUGCUCAGCCAGUAAGCCAUCACAAAUUAGUUACCGUGUGCGAGAUUAUAAGUUCCGCGAUCACUAAAUUCCAUUACUCUUCAUCUGAGCUUCCCAAAUUCCGUUUUCCAUUCCUAAUUCCUCAAGAAUCAAGUUUAUUCAAUGACUUAUGCAAAAUUAA
rnacentral:misc_RNA from 1 species